CCUACGGGAGGCAGCAGUGGGGGAUAUUGCACAAUGGGGGGAACCCUGAUGCAGCGACGCCGCGUGAGCGAAGAAGUACCUCGGUAUGUAAAGCUCUAUCAGCAGGGAAGAAAAUGACGGUACCUGACUAAGAAGCCCCGGCUAAAUACGUGCCAGCAGCCGCGGUAAUACGUAUGGUGCAAGCGUUAUCCGGAUGUACUGGGUGUAAAGGGAGCGCAGGCGGCCUGCGAAGUCAGAUGUGAAAACCCGUGGCCUAACCCCGGGCCUGCAUUGGAAACUGGCAGGCUAGAGUGUCGGAGAGGCAGGCGGAAUUCCUAGUGUAGCGGUGAAAUGCGUAGAUAUUAGGAGGAACACCGGUGGCGAAGGCGGCCUGCUGGACGAUGACUGACGCUGAGGCUCGAAAGCGUGGGGAGCAAACAGGAUUAGAUACCCCUGUAGUC
rnacentral:rRNA from 1 species